ensembl:lncRNA
ACCUUGACGUAAACAACCAAGGCUUUUGUUCAGCACACACACAUUCAGCAAGAACACCGAGGAGACGCCUGCAGGGAACAAGGAGGUGCAGCUUCAUGAAAAAUGAAAAACAUUACAAGUCACCACUAUGACAUGACUGUAAUCACAUACUAUUUAUUUCAGAAAAUUAUUUAUCAACAAGUAUGGAACAUGCUUGUUCCAUGUUGCAUAUGUGACAUUUUUCAGAUUUAUGCCAGUUUAGUUGAUUUUAUUUGCCAAUUUCUAUAAAAAUGCUCUCUGUUGCAGUCACAUACAUUUGUGUGUUUGUGUGUGUUUGUUUGUGUGUGUGUGUGUGUGUGUGUAUGAGAUAGAAAGUUCGUUCCACUUUGUGUUUAUGCUCUAGGACCAGACCUUGAUUUAAAUUUAAUUUUUUUUUAGAUUUAUGCCAGUUUAGCUGAUUUUAUUUGCCAAUUUCUAUAGAAAUGCUCUCUGUUGCAGUCACAUACAUUUGUGUGUUUGUGUGUGUGUGUGAGUGUGUGUGUAUGAGAUAGAAAGUUUGUUCCACUUUGUGUUUAUGCUCUAGGACCAGACCUUGAUUUAAAUGUAAAUUUUUUUUAGAUUUAUGCCAGUUUAGCUGAUUUUAUUUGCCAAUUUCUAUAAAAAUGCUCUCUGUUGCAGUCACGUGUGUGUGUGUUUUUUUGUGUGUUUGUGUGUGUGUGAGUGUGUGUGUAUGAGAUAGAAAGCUCGUUCCACUUUGUGUUUAUGCUCUAGGACCAGACCUUGAUUUAAAUGUAAUUUUUUUUUAGAUUUAUGCCAGUUUUGUUUAUUUUAUUUGCCAAUUUCUGUAAAAAUGCUCUCUGUUGCAGUCACACACAUUUGUGUGUUUGUGUGUGUGUGUGUGCGUGUGUGUAUGAGAUAGAAAGUUCGUUCUACUUUUUAUUUAUGCUCUAGGACCAGACCUUGGUUUAUAUGUAGAAAUUUUCAGAUUUAUAAUGGAUUUACUUUUAUUUUUUUGACAAACAAAAUUUAAAAAAGUCAUUUUUUUCAUUUUCCCAUUCAUUUUCAAUGUGGGGUCAUUUUGACCCCAAACACCUUAAAUGGUAAAUUUUUUUUUACACACCUUUAGAACAACCAAAUCAAGCCCAGUUUUUUUGUGCAUGUUUAGUUAAGGCAAGGCAAGGCAAGGCAAGUUUAUUUAUAUAGCACAUUUCGUACACAAUGGUAAUUCAAAGUGCUUUACAUAAAAGAAGGUAAAAUAAUCAUGAAGAAAAAAUAAUAACAAAAAAUAAAACAAGCAAUUUUAAAAAAAACAUAAAACAGGCAAUUUUUAAAACAUUGGAAAUGAUUUAAAAAAAUUGACGUAUUUAAAAUGAAUUUAAAACAGUUAAAAAUAGAAAAUGAUUUUACAUAGAAUAUAGUGAAUAUGUAAAAUACAGUGCAAUCAAUUCGGACAUCGCACAUUGCUCAUUCAACAAAUGCACAGUUAAACAGAUGAGUUUUGAGUCUAGAUUUAAAUGUGACUAAUGUUUUAGCACAUCUGAUCUCUUCUGGAAGCUGAUUCCAACUGCGGGCGGCAUAGUAACUAAAGGCGGAUUCCCCUUGUUUUGUGUGAACCCUUGGUAUUUCUAACUGACUCGAUCCUAAUGAUCUGAGUGGUCUGUUAGGUUUAUAUUCAGUGAACAUAUCUGCAAUAUAUUUUGGUCCUAGGUCAUUGAGUGAUUUAUAAACGAGUAAAAGUACUUUAAAAUCAAUCCUAAAUGUAACUGGAAGCCAGUGUAAGGACCUGAGGACUGGUGUGAUAUGCUCAGAUUUUCUGGUUCUAGUCAGAAUCCUGGCAGCAGCGUUCUGGAUGAGCUGCAGCUGUCUAAUGGUCUUUUUGGGAAGGCCGGUGAGGAGACCAUUACAAUAGUCCACCCUGCUGGUGAUAAAGGCAUGAACAAGUUUCUCUAAGUCUUGACUGGAAACAAAACAUCUAAUUCUUGCAAUGUUUUUUAGAUGAUAGUAUGCUGAUUUAGUUACUGCUUUGACAUGACUACUGAAACUAAGGUCUGUCUCCAGAAUCACACCAAGAUUCCUGACUUGAUUUUUAGUUGUUUGUCCCCUUGAGUCAAGGUAUGCAUUCACCUUGAAAACUUCAUCUUUGUUUCCAAAUGCAAUAACUUCAGUUUUUUUCCUUGUUUAACUGAAGAAAGUUCUGGCACAUCCAACUAUUAAUUUCAUCAAUACAUUGGCAGAGGGAGUCAAUGGGGCUGUAGUCAUUUGGCGAUAAGGCUAGGUAAAUCUGGGUAUCAUCAGCAUAGCUGUGAUAGGCAAUUUGGUUCUUUCUCAUUAUCUGACUUAGUGGGAGCAUAUACAGGCUAAACAAGAGCGGUGCCAGAAUUGAGCCUUGUGGGACUCCGCAUGUCAUGGACGUCCACUUAGACUUAUGCUCUCCUAGACUCACAUAAUAACCUCUCCCUUCUAAGUAUGACCUGAACCAUUUGAGUACCAUCCCAGAAAGCCCGACCCAGUUUUUCCAGUCUCUCUAGUAGUAUGUUAUGAUCGACAGUGUCAAACGCAGCACUGAGAUCUAGCAAUACCAGCACUGAUAUUUUGCCAGAGUCAGAAUUUAAGCGAAUAUCAUUUAUUAUCUUAAUGAGCGCUGUCUCUGUGCUGUGAUGCAGUCGAAAACCAGAUUGAAAAAUUGUCCAGGUAUCCAUUUGAGUUUAAGUAUUUGUUCAGCUGAUUAAAAAAACUACCUUUUCUAUA